CAGAUUCUGAAAAAUCUUAUCAUCUGUUUAUAUGAAGCCUGAAUUUGCAGUCUGAUUCACAUUUUUACAUAUGUAUAUGCACUGCAUUACAUAUGCAUAUAUCACGUGUCUUCAGGACAAAUCUUCAGCGCAUGCACAAAGCCUAAUCACCGUAUUCAUAAGAGAAAGCCACUGCAAUGUCACUGGAGCUACCAUCUGCUACGCUGCUGCUGAAUUGCUGCUGCUGCUGCAAGCAAGGACAAGAACUUGCUACUGCUAAUGCAUACGUCGAUACGGUGAGCCCUUGAGCAUAUCCUGUUGCUACCCAUAUUCAAUGUCGGGUCAAAGAUCAUUUCAUCUGAAGAUAUGCUCUCCAUGGACAAAGAUGUGAUGAACACUUAUGAACAAACAUUCACCAACUUCUGAAAAAAAAAGCCAUUUUAUUAGGAGAUUUUAUUAUUUUUUUUGGCUGAGAUAGAAAUGUGCGACUGAAAGACUGUCGAUAUUUGAUAUAAAUAACAGUUGAUUUUGAAAUGGCUCAUAUUUAUGUCACUUCAUUUAUAUCAUUGUUUUAAUAAUGUAAUAAUAAUGAAUUAAAAAUGAUUUUUUUAUAUUUUAAGACUUAAAAUCUAGGUCUGAGACAAAAAUAAAACA